rnacentral:tRNA from 1 species
GUGUGGCUUAGUGUUAAAGCACUUGCCUAGCAAGCAUGGGGCCCUGGGUUCCAAUCCCAGCAC